GUCGUGGUUUGUGUCUGAAUUAUCUGAAAAAGAUAUCUCAAACGUGGUGGUCCAGUGUAGGUAGUAUUCUACAAUAAGCUGUCGUGGUUUGUGUCUGAAUUAUCUGAAAAAGAUAUCUCAAACGUGGUGGUCCAGUGUAGGUAGUAUUCUACAAUAAACUGUCGUGGUUUGUGUCUGAAUUAUCUGAAAAAGAUAUCUCAAACGUGGUGGUCCAGUGUAGGUAGUAUUCUACAAUAAGCUGUCGUGGUUUAUGUCUGAAUUAUCUGAAAAAGAAAUCUCAAACGUGGUGGUCCAGUCUAGGUAGUAUUCUACAAUAAACUGUCGUGGUUUGUGUCUGAAUUAUCUGAAAAAGAUAUCUCAAACGUGGUGGUCCAGUGUAGGUAGUAUUCUACAAUAAACUGUCGUGGUUUGUGUCUGAAUUAUCUGAAAAAGAUAUCUCAAACGUGGUGGUCCAGUCUAGGUAGUAUUCUACAAUAAACUGUCGUGGUUUGUGUCUGAACUACCUGAAAAAGAUAUCUCAAACGUGGUGGUCCAGUCUAGGUAGUAUUCUACAAUAAGCUGUCGUGGUUUGUGUCUGAACUACCUGAAAAAAAUCUCUCAAACGUGGUGGUCCAGUGUAGGUAGUAUUCUACAAUAAACUGUCGUGGUUUGUGUUUGAACUACCUGAAAAAGAUCUCUCAAACGUGGUGGUCCAGUGUAGGUAGUAUUCUACAAUAAGCUGUCGUGGUUUGUGUCUGAACUACCUGAAAAAGAUAUCUCAAACGUGGUGGUCCAGUGGAGGUAGUAUUCUACAAUAAACUGUCGUGGUUUGUGUCUCAACUACCUGAAAAAGAUAUCUCAAACGUGGUUGUCCAGUGUAGGUAGUAUUCUACAAUAAACUGUCGUGGUUUGUGUCUCAACUACCUGAAAAAGAUAUCUCACACGUGGUAGUCCAGUGUAGGUAGUAUUCUACAAUAAACUGUCGUGGUUUGUGUCUCAACUACCUGAAAAAGAUAUCUCAAACGUGGUGGUCUAGUGUAAGCAGUAUUCUACAAUAAACUGUCGUGGUUUGUGUCUGAACUGCCUGAAAAAGAUAUCUCAAACGUGGUGGUCCAGUGUAGGUAGUAUUCUACAAUAAGCUGUCGUGGUUUGUUCUUGAACUACCUGAAAAUGACUAAAAAGUUUGCCAUUUCAAGUGAAGGCCCUUUCUCAUUAUUAACAUUCUGCCAAAGGACUCCACUAGCCUCGAAGUACUUCUGACAACAACAACAACAACAACAACAACAACAACAACAACAACAACAACAACAACAACAACAACAACAACAACAACAACAACAACAACAACAACAACAACAACAACAGCAACAAACAACAACAACAACAACAACAACAACAACUACAACAACAACAA